UACGAAGGGGGCUAGCGUUGUUCGGAUUUACUGGGCGUAAAGCGCACGUAGGCGGAUCGUUUAGUUGAGGGUGAAAUCCUGGAGCUCAACUCCAGAACUGCCUUCGAUACUGGCGAACUAGAGUCCGGAAGAGGUGAGUGGAACUCCUAGUGUAGAGGUGGAAUUCGUAGAUAUUAGGAAGAACACCAGUGGCGAAGGCGGCUCACUGGUCCGGUACUGACGCUGAGGUGCGAAAGCGUGGGGAGCAAACAGG
rnacentral:rRNA from 1 species